UGCUCAGUAGAUCGAAUGGACUCCUCUACUCCUCUGUCUUCACUAAAUAAUUGUCUGGCUUGUGGCAGCCAGUGUUAGAGGAACAGAACAGCUGCUGCGUCUGACUCAGCGUCUGCAGAGCUUCAAUAUAUUCUCUGAGGUGAUGUGGCAGAAACUGAGUUUGACAGUAUGGAGGUGCCCACUGCAGUAGUUUGCCACUGAGAUCCAGCUGCUGAAGUCUUCUACAUCCCAAGGACAGAGACUGAACUCCUGCAUCUGUUACUGCCUUACAGCCACUUAUAUCCAGACAGGAUGGAGUGAGGAACUGACAGCCAAACACCUCCAACCUGGAGAGACUAACGUGAAAACAAAGCCACAAAAAGACGUUUGAUUGUCAAGUCCACUUCAGCAGAGAGUUUCCACACAAAGUGAAAAACAUCUCCAGCCCACAGGAGGUGACAGACAGGCCACUGCAGCUGUACAGACUCAGGCUGCGAGGACGACGUUUGCCCACAAAAA